AUAGUCGCGAUGAACAAAAGGAGUAACAACCGUUUUGCUUAAAGAGACUUCGUGGUUGGUGUAAACGAAGAGAAAACGUUGUGAAAGCUGUUUGGGAGCAAAAGGUCAGUCGGCCAUAACGACAUUUGAGGGCUAGGAUUUUUCCUAGAACUAAGGUGGUACCGCGUAGAUUAUACGUCCUUAGG
rnacentral:ncRNA from 1 species